rnacentral:rRNA from 1 species
GUGGGGAAUCUUGCGCAAUGGGCGAAAGCCUGACGCAGCCAUGCCGCGUGGAUGAUGAAGGUCUUAGGAUUGUAAAAUCCUUUCACCGGUGAAGUUAAUGACUGUAGCCGGAGAAGAAGCCCCGGCUAACUUCGUGCCAGCAGCCGCGGUAAUACGAAGGGGGCUAGCGUUGCUCGGAUUUACUGGGCGUAAAGGGCGCGUAGGCGGACAUUUAAGUCAGGGGUGAAAUCCCGGGGCUCAACCUCGGAACUGCCUUUGAUACUGGCUGUCUUGAGUACGGGAGAGGUGAGUGGAACUCCGAGUGUAGAGGUGAAAUUCGUAGAUAUUCGGAAGAACACCAGUGGCGAAGGCGACUCACUGGCCCGUUACUGACGCUGAGGCGCGAAAGCGUGGGGAGCAAACAGGAUUAGAAACCCUUGUAGUCC